UUAUUUAGUAUUUACAGUGUUUAAUGUUUGCAAAUGCAUUAAUUUAUGAAGAUCAUUUCAUGAUAACUAUAACAAAAGUCCAUGUAAACUUUUUUCAGCCACUGAUGACACAAUUCAAGAUAUACUUGGGCAUAUAACUGAAGGUGUUUGUCGACCGUUUAAGGUUAGGGUGGAGCAGGUUUUGGUGUCGGAACAAGAUGCUGUAACACUCUACAAACUGAACAAUCUUCUUAAAUUCUACCUGCAUACUAUAGGGCAGAUAAUUAACCCAGAUGCUGCUUUGUUGUCAACUAUUUUGGAAAUACGUGAUCUGAGCCACAGAAUGUUCUUUAACAGUUUAACAUGUAAUGCCAACAAACUACUGGAUAAGGUGAGAUAUUGUCUUACUUCAUCUGUCAUUAAGAACAAUAAUCUUGUUACAUCUGUAAUUAAGAACAAUAAUCUUGUUACAUCUGUU